UAGGGAAUCUUCGGCAAUGGACGCAAGUCUGACCGAGCAACGCCGCGUGAGUGAAGACGGUUUUCGGAUCGUAAAGCUCUGUUGUAGGGGAAGAACGUGUGUAAGAGUGGAAAGCUUACACAGUGACGGUACCCUACCAGAAAGGGACGGCUAACUACGUGCCAGCAGCCGCGGUAAUACGUAGGUCCCGAGCGUUGUCCGGAUUUAUUGGGCGUAAAGGGAGCGCGGGCGGUUUAGUAAGUCUGAAGUUAAAGGCAUUGGCUCAACCAAUGUAUGCUUUGGAAACUGUUAGACUUGAGUGCAGGAAGGGGAGAGUGGAAUUCCAUGUGUAGCGGUGGAAUGCGGUAGAUAUAUGGAGGAACACCGGUGGCGAAAGCGGCUCUCUGGUCUGUCACUGACGCUGAGGCUCGAAAGCGUGGGUAGCGAACAG
rnacentral:rRNA from 1 species